rnacentral:rRNA from 1 species
CACGUAGGAGGCGAGCGUUGUCCGGAAUCAUUGGGCGUAAAGAGCGCGCAGGCGGCUUGGCAAGUCGGGUGUGAAAUCCCGGGGCUCAACCCCGGGACUGCAUUCGAUACUGUCAGGCUAGAGGUAGGUAGGGGAGAUCGGAAUUCCUGGUGUAGCGGUGAAAUGACGCAGAUAUCAGGAGGAACACCGGUGGCGAAGGCGGAUCUCUGGGCCUUACCUGACGCUCAGGUGCGAAAGCUAGGGGAGCGAACAGG